rnacentral:lncRNA from 1 species
GGGAGGUCUCAUGCUUUAAUGAUGUAGAGUAUCUUCCCACUCUAGUGUGCCUGAGCCUCCAGGCAGGCAGCGUGUGUUUCCGCUGGGGCAAAGGUGAAGGAGCAGGAGUUGUAACUGGAGAAUAGCAGACACAUCACUAACCACAGCUGACACCUGAGUGCUUUCUUUGGGUGGAAGUGGAACAUGCUUUUACAGAGUGCAUCCUGUGUGCCCAGUGUUCCCAGACUAUUAGAGGACCUGGCUGAUGCUCCGGAGAUGAUAAAACAUGAUCCAGGCGUCUCUUUUCUCCAGGAGGAAAAAUGGCAGCAGCAGUAGUGGAUCCACAACAGGUAUGAUUUCUAAGUAUUCG